AAGGGAGAGAAGUUAGAAGCGACUGGACGCAACGGAUUUCCCUGUGUCUUAUAUCAAAACUACUGUAUAUAGAAACGUUACAUAUAAAUAUUUUCAGUAUAAACAGUACAGAUUGACACUCUCUAAUUCAGCACCCUUGAGACCUGACAAUUGCCAGAUCAUAAAAAAUGCUGGAUCACAUAAUUUGCUCCCUAAGAAUCACUAUAUAAAUAUAUGCUAAUCUGUAGACUUGUGAUGGUAUACUAAAAGACAAUAAUAAAAAACAUUACAUAUUAUAUAAACAUUAGAAAUUCUAUGCUGUAUAUAUAUUGCAUAUUAUAAAUGUGUCUGGCAAAAUACAAUACUUUCUUCAUACAAUAUUUAAUUUAUCAGGUCAUCCCAUAAAUAAUAUCAUUUUUGCAUGUCCCACAGAACUGCUUCUUCUGGUGAUCAGACAAUGAAGUAGACCGAGGGUAUGAUAAGACAUAUUGCAAGGCAUGCUCUUUAUGUAAUUUGAGGCAGAGAACAACAGCUGUAUAUGCAUUCCUUGUGCUGUUAAAGUCUAAUAGGAAAUGGCAAUGUCUGAAAAGCACAAUAUUUUAAUAAAUUUAUACAGCAUAUUAUGCUGUAGCCCAAAAUUAUACAGCCCAAAAUUUUACAGCAUAUGCUGUAAAAUUUAACCAAGAAUAUACAGAAAUAAUAGUGACAUGAAACAUCAAUACAAUAUAUGGGCAAGAUAUUCUGAAUAUCAGAAAAUGUCAAGAAUGGUUUUAGAAAUUCUAAUUAGAGAACAAGACUCUCAUGGCGGAUCCAGAAAAUUCAUCGCGGAAAAUUCAUCACAGAAAAAAUUUAUUGCAGGAAAAUUUAUCGCAAGAAAAUUCAUCACAGGAAAAUUAAUCGCACAGAGGGUUCAUCGC
rnacentral:lncRNA from 1 species